rnacentral:rRNA from 1 species
GGCGAACGGGUGAGUAACACGUUGGUAUCUGCCUUUAGGUCAGGGAUAGCCAUCUGAAAAGAUGAUUAAUACCGGAUAGUCUCUUCGGAGUAAAAAUUUAUUGCCUAAAGAGGAACCUGCGGUCUAUCAGCUUGUUGGUAAGGUAACGACUUACCAAGGCUAUGACGGAUAACUGGUCUGAGAGGAUGAUCAGUCACAAUGGAACUGAGACAAGGUCCAUACUCC